rnacentral:lncRNA from 1 species
CUGAUUCCUACUGAUGUUCCUGAGGAAUAAGAGACCUGCACAAUAUCGUUCCAGUGUUUCCUAUAAUCCAAGAGCUACGGCACAGCACACUCUGGAGAGUCAGGACAUCAUUCAGGAGCCAGGGGUGUCUACUGGAAAGCAAACACCUUGCUAAAGGAAGGAAAAGCAAGCAGAGUUGCAAGGGAGAGGCUGAAGCGGCUGACAGGAGCAUUACAUAAAUAUUAUUGAUUUUGUUUCUUCAAACGCUCAUGAAAUAAGCCAGAUAAACAUGCCAACCGAUUUUGCUCAACAAUAUAAUGUAUCACUCAGCCUUUCAAACGUCAUCUGUGCAUAGCAUGUACACUUGAUGCUGCCACAAAGGACCAAAGAAGGGGGAAGUGGCGACCAGAUAAAGGGCACACGUUCAUUCAUCUGGCAGCGAUGCGGCAGCAGCUAAACUUCCCAGAGACAGCAGAGAGGGGUUGGAAACAGCAUUUGCUCCUUGAUACAUCUCGUUCCAUAAAUCUCAAAACAGAAGGACAGAAAAAUCAAUGGGUAAGAGAGAUGGAUCACUCACCUGAACCAGGAGAAAUGAGUCAACUUGUAUCAGAUUUGCCGAUGAGGCCUGGGCAAUCUGUCAAGCUGUGUUUUUCAGGGGAAACAGUCCCUUCAACAAAGAAGGAAAAGCCACAAGUACUGAGGAAGUGAAAACUUGAUUGGGAUAAAGACCACAUUCCUGGAACCUUUCAGAUUAUUUUCUUAUUUUAACCCUAAAAUGUUGUUCCUGUCUCAACUCUUUCCCUCCAAAAAUGAAAGGAUGAAAGGCAGCACGAAAAGUGUUAGAGCAUCACUGCUGUAUCGAAGGCCAAGGGGACCCACUAUGUUUAACCAAAGAGCAGCCCCUUACACCUACUGGCAGCUGAAAUGUAGAAGCCAGUGUCAGUAAAUAAAAGAGCAGAGCCAGCAUCA